AAAACAACACCAGCACUAUCAAAAUUAAAAGAAAUAAAAAUGAAGAGACACAUGGAGAAUAGCAUAACCAUUUUCUCCAUCAUCGACUGAAGUUCGUCGGCGACCAGUGCUUCCGUCGGCUACUAUUACUUCCAUCCGCCUCCUUUUUUUCCUUUGUCAGCCCUAAAGUUGUUCGACAUCAAUCGGUUUAGGGUAAACAGAAGUUGCGACUUUUAUUCUUGAACAGAGCUUCGAUUCUUCUUCUUCUUCAACAUAGCUUCGACUUGCAGCUCUAACAGAUUUGUUAAGUUGAUCCCAGUCCUCCUAAGGAAGAUGGCUCAGAAGAAUGCCCUUGUUCGGAAAUUUCCUAGUGUUGAAAUUCUUGGCCGCACAACCGUGAUUUGUUCUCAGCUUCAUUCUUCAUCUCAGUUGAUGAUAUGAUAAUAUGACAAUGGAUUUUGAUGAGAGGUACUUCCAUGGGAAACCACAAAAUAGCUUCCACAAAGCAAUGAAUAUCCCUGAUGUGGCAGUUUUUCCAAGGAAUGCAGAGGAAGUGUCCAAGAUAGUCAAAUCUUGUAACAAGUAUAAGGUCUAAGCUCCUUGCUUUUGAGGGUUGUCUGAUUUUUCUCUUUUUCUUUCAAUUGGUUCUUAUUGUUUUUCAGUUGCUAAUAUAUAAUGUGAAUGGGUAACUCUUCUUUUACGCAUUUGAGUUUUUGGCUAUUGGAUUGUUCAAACUGAUAAUUAUUUGUAUCCAUUCAUUAGGCAUGAAAAUCCAAAUUUGAAAUGCAGAAAAGAACCAAAUAUAAUGGUUGUUUUUACUUAACAUAUACAUAUUCACUAUAAAUAAUUUUGACAACUGGCUUAUUUAUUUGAACUUUUCUUUUAUUUUUUUUAUAAUUUAUUUUCUGGUUUAAUUUGAUGAGCAUGUCCCUAUGGUGGAGCCACAUCACUCGAGGGUCAUACAUUAUCACCUCAUGGAGGUGUUUGCAUUGACAUGAAUUUGAUGAAAGUAUGAGCCUGUUUCUUGUUAUAAAUCACGCCACAUGAUUUUAAGGCCCCUUUUAUCAGUAAAAUUUAGUUUAUUGACAUUCAUUAAUAACUUGAUUUUGUUUUAGCUAUCAACCAUACAUUUUGGUGCUUUCUAAGGCAUUUUAAUCUCAAUAUAGGGUUCGCAUAUGUUUGUUUUAUAAUGGAGAUUAUUUUGAAUACUUUUCUUAGGUCUAUUUUGGCCCUUUGGUGAUACAAUGUGUAGUUCAUGUCACUUAUGUUUCAAUAGGUGCGGGGGACCCCAUUUGUAGAUUUUGGCUCAAUCAAUAAGGCCUACUUGUUUCAUGUUAGUGGUGAAACUUGUGCAGGCUCACCUUAUU